rnacentral:lncRNA from 1 species
GUAAAUGUCUUGUCCUAGCUCUUGAAUAGAAGGGUAUAUUUGUCAGAGUUAUUGGUUUCUCUGAAGAAAUGGAAGAGAAGUAGUAGCCCUUGUUUAGAAAAUUAAUGUCAAGUUUCAUCCUAAAUUUUCCAUCUACCUUGUUUGUCAAAUGCGAUGUCAUAACUUAUGAGUAAGAGGACUAUUGUAUAUUAGCAAUAAUCUAUUCACGAAAUUUGUUCCCCUUCCUUGUGUACCAUGAAGUGAUUCGAGAGAAAUGACUCACGGUUAUUUAGCAUCUUGAUACGUGGUUGUUGGCGAAUCAUAGACAAGAUGGACAUUGUUGCCACUUGAAGUUACACUAAGAGAUAAAGCAUCAAUGCAGCCCCUCCCUAUUCCCCCAUCGGAGGGGAAAAACACAGAUAUGGGAGGAAAGACGAAACC